CCCAUUAAACAACCUUCUGCUCACUUCCGGUCCCGCCGGCGAAGAAGCUUCAAAGAAGUGCAGUGAAAAAGUUAAAUUUUGGUGAAAUACUUUAAUAUUUUAUUCAACUAACUUAUCAGCUGCACUAGCGCGCAAACCAACUACUAGAAGACCCUGUAGUGCGAUAAGCAAACGACGAAUCUUUUUCAUUUAAAGGUAUGUGGAAC